AACGCAGCGAAAUGCGAUAAGUAAUGUGAAUUGCAGAAUUCAGUGAAUCAUCGAAUCUUUGAACGCACAUUGCGCCCGGCAGCAAUCUGCCGGGCAUGCCUGUCCGAGCGUCAUUUCUUCCCUCGAGCGCGGCUAGCCCUACGGGGCCUGCCGUCGCCCGGUGUUGGGGCUCUACGGGUGGGGCUCGUCCCCCCCGCAGUCCCCGAAAUGUAGUGGCGGUCCAGCCGCGGCGCCCCCUGCGUAGUAGAUCCUACAUCUCGCAUCGGGUCCCGGCGAAGGCCAGCCGUCGAACCUUUUAUUUCAUGGUUUGACCUCGGAUCAGGUAGGGUUACCCGCUGAACUUAAGCAUAUCAAUA
rnacentral:sRNA from 1 species